rnacentral:tRNA from 1 species
GGGCCCGUAGCCCAGUAUGGAUAGGGCGCCGGAUAGGCCAGCCGGCGGUCGUGGGUUCAAAUCCCACCGGGCCCG